AGACCAGACUCCUACGGGAGGCAGCAGUGGGGAAUAUUGCACAAUGGGGGAAACCCUGAUGCAGCGACGCCGCGUGAGUGAAGAAGUCUUUCGGUAUGUAAAGCUCUAUCAGCAGGGAAGAAAAUGACGGUACCUGAUUAAGAAGCCCCGGCUAACUAUGUGCCAGCAGCCGCGGGAAUACAUAGGGAGCAAGCGUUAUCCGGAUUUAUUGGGUGUAAAGGGUGCGUAGACGGGAAAUUAAGUUAGUUGUGAAAUCCCUCGGCUUAACUGAGGAACUGCAACUAAAACUGGUUUUCUUGAGUACUGGAGAGGAAAGUGGAAUUCCUAGUGUAGCGGUGAAAUGCGUAGAUAUUAGGAGGAACACCAGUGGCGAAGGCGGCCUGCUGGACAGUAACUGACGUUGAGGCUCGAAAGCGUGGGGAGCAAACAGGAUUAGAUACCCCUGUAUC
rnacentral:rRNA from 1 species